GGCUGUGCAUGAUAAACAAAAGCACUGAAAUCUUUUGAUUGUAAUCAUUUGAUCUUCCUCGUUCUGCAUAAGAAAGAAUCUUAUUCCUGUUUAGACAAUUGGAUUUCCAUGCUUACAUGAUGUUACAGUUGAUUGUGACUCAAAUUUUCCAGUAAACUCUCAAUCCUGUUAUGGAAGGUGAUUUAAAAGUUGAUCAUUAUUUUCACCAUUUUAUUACUUAUUUCAAGUUUAUUUCAAAUACUUGACUUCUCUUCAAUCAUUUGAUAAAAUUUACACAACUUUGAUGAUCAUUAGUUUGAAAGAUAUUAACGAGAUUUCAACGAUUAACACUAACAAUCACAACCAGAUUUUGACCAGAAUUUUGAUUAAUUAGCGGAAAUUGGUUGAACAUCAAUGAUCUGCAAGUAGAAUGAUUAUUAACCUGGAUUUAAUUCAAUUAAACAAUUGAUCAUCCAAUCAAUAGUGUAUAGUAGAAAAUGAAAGACAAAAACAUUGGUGAUUUAUUAUUAACUGAAAAUGAAUUGCAUUUUGCUUGAAUCAUCUUCAGGUGCAUCCUAAGAAUCAUGGAAAGUAAAGGUUAAAGAUGAUUGAAACGUAGCAUCAGAAAUCGUAUAAAAGAGAUAAAAAUUGUUCAAUUAAAUCAUUCAAUUCUUGCUAUCAAACUAGUAAACAACUCUAAUAAACUAACUUUCAAUUAACUUGUGUUAAUCACCAACAACCCAACAAACAAAACAAUGGAAGCCCGAACCAUCAUCGUUUACAUCGCCGCUCUUGCCUCAGUUGUCGCCAUGGCUUACGCUGAUCCUGAACCAAAACCAGAACCAAUCAUUGGCGGCCUUCUUAACAGUGUUCUUGGUGGACGAUGAUUCAAAGGCUUGGUUGGUUUACCAGUUUUGUUAACCAUCCAUAGUUAAUAAUUGAAUCAUGACUGAUAUUGAAUCAAAAAUGAAUUAAAUAAAGCAUUGAAAAAGCAAA